UACGUAGGGGGCUAGCGUUGUCCGGAAUCAUUGGGCGUAAAGCGCGUGUAGGCGGUCCGGUAAGUCCGCUGUGAAAGUCGGGGGCUCAACCCUCGGAUGCCGGUGGAUACUGUCGGGCUUGAGUACGGAAGAGGCGAGUGGAAUUCCUGGUGUAGCGGUGAAAUGCGCAGAUAUCAGGAGGAACACCGAUGGCGAAGGCAGUGAUCUGGGCCAGUACUGACGCUGAGGAGCGAAAGCGUGGGUAGCAAACAGG
rnacentral:rRNA from 1 species